rnacentral:rRNA from 1 species
CAUGCCGUAAACGUUGGGCACUAGGUGUGGGGCUCAUUCCACGAGUUCCGUGCCGCAGCAAACGCAUUAAGUGCCCCGCCUGGGGAGUACGGCCGCAAGGCUAAAACUCAAAGGAAUUGACGGGGGCCCGCACAAGCGGCGGAGCAUGCGGAUUAAUUCGAUGCAACGCGAAGAACCUUACCAAGGCUUGACAUACACCGGAAAGAUGCAGAGAUGUGUCCCCCGCAAGGUCGGUGUACAGGUGG